GAUCUAGAGGCAUACUACAGACAUCCAGCCACCUGGGGCACCUGGCGCCUUGGCUGCUCCUCUCAGAGCUCACCUCAGCUCUAUCUCCUCUCCUUCCUCCCCCACCUGCCACCCGGGGUGCAGUGCAGGGGAAACCAGCACUUAUCAAGACAAAGAACAAAAGUCGUGGGGGCAAGAAGCCAAGAGCCAUCUCUCUACUCUGGGGUAGGGCCUUCAGCUUCGCCCCUUUGAAAUUUCAAAUUCCAGUUUGUGGACAAAGUCCUAACUAUCUCACAAUAUAGGUCCCCAACUGCUGACCAAACUCCAGUCCAGGCGGCCACCUAGCCUGAGACUGGCCUGGCUUGGCCGUUUCUUUUAGCAGCUCCCAAGACCUGAGGGUAGGUUUCCUGGGCAGCAGGGACCUGCCAGACCAUCCUCUACUACUACCAGCUCACUACCCAGGGACCCCUGCUCCUGUCUGAGAGGACAGCUCUGCCUGAAGCUGGAAUCUGAUGCUUGUUGAUGCCAACAACCGAAACCAGGGACCCAACUGGUGCUUGAAAUAAACGUCCUGGCUGAAUAAAUGAGUUAAGAAUUGAAGGAAUUUACCCAUCUAAGCAUCCAGCAAGGAAGGCAGUGGGCAAGAGCCUUCCCAUGCAGGAUUGCAGCUAGGGAUGAAAACGAAAACAUCCAGUGGAACUGUAACUUCAGGUGAACAGCAUGUGUUUGUAUGGUAAGUGUAUCUCCAACAAUGCUAAGACACACUCACACUCAAAAAAUGGAGGCGUAAUAGGGCUCAGCAGGAAAAGGUAUCAGUCCCCUGGGUCCCCUUAGGAACCCGCCCCAGAAAAUUAUCUCUCACCUCCACAGGACCAGAGGCCUAUGGCCACCUAUUCAUGCUGGAACUCACAAUAAAUAAAAAUAAAAAUACAAUAAAAGGUUUAAGGAAGGGUGUGGCUCGUCACAAAUCGGUUAUGUUUAUAACUGAGAAUCCUGGGCUCUGUCCAGCAACCUCACUCUCAGCCUGGCAUAGCAGGCAGUGGGGGUGGGGGAAUAAAUUAAAAAGGGAAGUGAAUUUUAAAAAUAGUGAGAACAAGGAAGUCGAGAGAGAUGACAGCGCCUGGUUGUCAGGUGACCCUCUCCUGUGAGAAGACAGUUUUACACCCCAGUAAGGUGUUAGGAAAAGCUUCAUGCGCAUGGUCAAGGCUGUUCAGAGGGAUAGAAGGGGCCUGCUGGCUGCUGAGUCACUUGCUAGACUGUGCAGUUUUGCACCUUGGAUCUGGGCCUUUGCAAUCCUCCGCAAACUCACGUCCCACCCCCCCAGGUCAGCCAAUGUCCUCAGCGAGGCUGAGAGCCAGAGGAAAGGGGCCAAAGGAGCUGCGCAGAGAAGCGAAGCGUGGCCUCCUAACAGGGCUCAGCGUCUUCUGGCCCAUCCCGGUCCCAGCAGGGUGAGGGUGGCAGGAGCCAGCUUCGAGGGCUCCUCCUAGUGGCCAAUGUGGGAAUUGGCGCUCAGAGACAGUAUAGUCACAUUCAUCCCAGGAUGCCGCACUGCCCACUGCCACCGCACCAAUCAGAAUGCAAGAUUUAAAAGACAGUCCCAAGGCCUUGUAUUCUGCAUGUCUAACUGCCACGAAAGUUCCAACCCCAGGUGCCAGUGUGGCGGCAUCUUUGAGGAAGUUCCCAGGGUUUCUGUUGGCAUCAAACGUCUGCCUUCAUUUGCAUCCAUCCUCAUUUAUAAUGGAAUUCAUAACAUUAAAUAUUCACUCCCCCAUCAUAAAAGUUAACAUGGACGCUAUAGAGAUGGCUCGGUGGUUAAAAGUACUUACUUGCAGAGGCCCCUCCUAGCUGCCUUUCCAGAACCCAUGGGGCACCUCACAACCUUUUGUGCCUCUAGGUCCAGGGGAUACACAUACACCACAAACACACACACAAACACAGCGUCCUCUAAUAAUUAAAUCAAAGUAAAUAAAAGUUAACAAGGAGAAAUGAGUGCAAUUUGGCUGUUAACUAGGUUCAUAUUAAACGCACCGGAAGCUUUGCCCAAGAGGACGGCUUGCUCCAUCUAAGAUCUUAUCAUCAUCACCAUCACCGUCACCACCACCACCACAUCAAUUCCUGCCUUCGUGUCCUCCUGUCCUUCCAGAGUCAUAAAACAAAACAAAACAAAAACAAACAAACAAACAAACCCAGUGCACACCACCAGCAACAGUAGCUAGAAUUUUUGUUAUUUUUUUUCCACUCCACUACAGCCAACUUGGGCCCAAUCACCCUGUUUUCUGGAAGUGAGCAGGAAUCUUUGCACAACUCUUUCUUGCCCAUUCCGGCUCCUGCGCCAUCCGUGGGGGUGAUCACGCACAAACAUACCUUGCCCUGGAUCCCUCCCCUCUUUAAACAUUUACAGUGUCCUGAGCGUUUAUGAAGCUCAGAAGACUCCCGCCACAAGAACUUUAUUACUGUGUUCCCACAUCCCCAGCCUCAUCUCAUCCCUCCCUUCCUCCUUCCUGGCUCUGGGCCUUUGCAAGUCCCGCUGCGGUUGACUAUGGUUGCCGUGACCUGGAGGGAGGGUGGGUCUGCAGCUCCAGACUUGUUGUGUGAGUUCUGGACCUUCCUCAACCUACAUUCUCUGUCUCGUAACCUCCUCCUAGCAUGUCAGCUUGAAGCAGCCAGUGUGUCCAGUUACCUGUAGAUAACCUAUUUAUGCUUCUCCUGCCCCAUCGUGGAGAUGCCUGCUGGCUGCGUUCCUUAUAGCACACCCCAAUCCUUGAGCAGGUUCAAACAAACAGAGAAGAGGCAGCGGGUAGAGAUUUGGUAGCAUUCUGAAAGGGCCUGUGAGGAGAACUUGAUGAGUGUCUCACAGUGAGCUCACCAGGUACAGGGGCUGGCCUUUCAGCCUUAUGACAUGAAUUCAACCCCCAAGACCCCCAUGGUGGGGGGAGAGGAGCAACUCCUGUCCUUUGACCUUCACGAGAUCACUGUAGAACACCCUUCCUCCAUACACACACACACACACACACACACACACACACACACACACACACAUAUAUAUGGUUUUUGUUUUGUCUUGUCUUUUUGUUUGUUUGUUUUGUUUUUUCAAAACAGGGUUUCUCUGUGAAGCCUGUCUAUCCUGGACUCACUUUUUAGACCUGGCUGGCCUCAAACUCUCAGUGAUUCGCCUGCCUCUGCUUCCCUGCUGGGAUUAAAGGGGUGCACCACCAUGCCUGGCUUCAUACAUGCAUGUUUAAGGAAGAGAAUGUCAUUAAUGGUCAGUGAAAAGAAUUCUACGCCUACAGCAGGAUUUUUGCAAAGUGAAACAAAUAGUCUGAGAAUCGCAAAUAAUUUAGUCGGGCAUGUUGGCAAAUACUUCAGCGUUUGGAAAGCGGAGGCAGGAGGGCUUCAGAGUGAGUUUAAGUGUAGCCUUGCACUAUAUGAAACCAUGUCAAAAAAAAAAAAAAAAAGAAAGAAAGAAAGAAAGAAAGAAAGAAAAAGAAAAAAAAAGAGAAAAGAGACCAAUGAGGUGUCUCAGUGAAUAAAGAUGUUUUCUUGGGACUCACUUAGCAGAAAGACAGAUCCUCCUCUCUUUAGUCAUCUCUGAGCUCCACACUGCCACGUUUGUCCACACACACAUACACAUGCACACACAAUAAAUACAUGAAAAGGUGGGGAACAGCAGAUGUUCGACCCUUUGUGGAUAAGGCAAAUCAAAGGGCCCUGGCCCAACCCGCUCCUAGGCUACCCUCCUUACAGGCAAGUGGGAGCGUCAUACUUGUUCUGUUCUCUGAAGUUGGAGGUGACUGUGAGGGGUGAGGAAAAGCAGGCUGGGCCAGCCCUUUCUUUAUGGAAACAAGGAUGGGUAUUGAGUCACCCUGGUGAGGAGGGCCCCCUGCUGUCCAAAGAGGGACAUGCACUGUAAGAGAGCUAGAACAAGCUAUUGGAACCAAUCUUGGGGGCGUUUUGUCACAGGACAGCAUAUCUGAUCAGGUGGGACAGACUUCCCAAAGCAUCUCAGGUUUCCCUAAGACCAUCAUUGCUUUUAUCAUAUCUGAAAACCACCUCUGAUGUUACCUACAUACAUUUUUUUUCUUGCACUUCUUUUUUACUUAGAUGUAUUGUAUAGCCUUGUAAAAACCUUUUUGACCUAGGGUCUCAGGCUCAAACUUGCUGUGUAGCUGAGAAUGACCAUGAACUUCUGAUUCUCCUGUUUUCACCUCCCUAGUGCUGGAACUACAGGAAUGUGCCAUUAGGCCAGUUUUUGUGGGGUGCUGGAGAUGGAGUGCUGGAGCAUGCUAGCCAAACACCCCACUGACAUUUCCAGCUCCUAGAUUCAUUUUUUUAAGUUAUUCCAAUCAAGAGAAAUAUACUUUUCUAAACAGAAAGCAAUGAAAAACAAUCAGGAAAAAGAAGAGGGUCUCAGGUGGUGGUGGCGCAUGCCUUUAAUCCCAGCACUCGGGAGGUCGAUCUCUGAGUUCUGAGUUAAAGGCCAGCCUGGUCUGGUCUCCAGAGAAACUCUGUCUCAAAAAAAAAAAAAAAAAAAGGAUCCCUAUCAUCCUGCAAAAUCAAAACCCAGUGGAGAUGCUUAGACAGUGAGGAGCCAGUUCCCUGCCAAGGCUGAAUAAGCAAAUUCUGGGCCUUGACUUCCUGGGUUUGCAUGCAUAUGCUCUACUACUGCCCAGCACCCCCAGCCCUAAGGGCUGUGGUGGGGAUUGUUGGCGUUCAUGUAGAUAAAGGGCUAAAGCCGUAUCUGGCACACUGUGAGUGCUGCAAAGAUGCUAGCUGCAAAACAAAGACUGUAUAACGAUCCAAACACCAUCUAGCCACAGUGGCACACACUUGUGAUCCCAGCACCAGGGUAGCUGUGGCAAGAGGGUCAGGAGUUCAAAGCCAGCCUGAGCCAUAAGGGGAGGCAGGCAUGGGCUACAUGAGACCGACUUAAAACAAGGAAACAAAACACAGCAACGACCCAAAUGUCUUUGAAUAAGGGUAUAAAUCCCAGGCCAGGCACGGUGGUGCAAGCCUUUAAUCCCAGCUCUCAGGAGGCAGGGGCAGGUGGAUCUCUGUGAGAUCGAGGCCAGUCUGCUCAAUAAAUAAAUAAAUAAAAGAGCAUGAACCCCAUAGUGGUGGUGGGGGGAUCUCUCCACAGGUUAAAAAUAAAUAAAUCCCAAGGAUGCCGUGGAUGGGGAGGCUACAUGCCCUCUGUCGGUGGCAGGUGAUGUAGCAGAGCCUUUGAUUUUUGUUGGUGACAGCUACUCCAACUCUGUCAUGUCAUGCGUCAUUCUUGAGGACAUAGCGUUCAGGCUGGAAGAGCCAAUGUCCUCUGCACAGUGUCCUCAAAUGACCACAUAGGGACACUGGCAUUGGGCUUUCAUUUUAGGAAGAACAUUUAGGACAGGACAGGCCACAACAGCUGCCCCCUCUGGAGAAUGGCUGAAGCCGAGGCGGGGACUGGGCUGGUUGCUAUCAGCAGCAGAGAGGCAGUUCAGCUAAGUGCUCGGGGCUGUGGCCUUUGAACUGUCUGAUCCCGGGCAGGUCACAAGCUCUUUAGAUCUUAUUUGCUUCACCUACAAGAUAGGACUCCACAGUAGGGCCUCUUUAUGUAGUGUUUGGUGGAGCCAAUGUGAUAAGCCUUAGACACCUGGCAUGCAGGUGGCCAGAAAGCAGCUAUGUUUUGGGUUCAAAACGGGGCUGAGGCUGUAGCUCAUUAGGUAGCUCACGCAGCAUGUGAAAAAUCCUGCAACUCAUUCCAGUGCUGCAAAACAAGGUAUUUCCUGGGAAAUAAGAAUUCACUGUUAGCUGGGUGGUCGUGGUGCACUCCUUUAAUCCCAGCACUCGGGAGACAGGGGCAGGUGGCUGUCCGGGUUCCAGGCCAGCCUGGUCUACAGGGUGAGUUCCAGGGCAGCCAGGGCUACACAAAAUAGACAAAUAAAAAGAAACUUGAUGGUUCCUAUGAUCCCAGAAAGCAAGCCAGAAUCGAUAGAUGGGAGAAAAACUUGGAGCCAGAAUAAAAGACUUUAUUAGGCGAUGUGAUUGUCCUAUCAGGGACAGUACUGACGAAUCCAGAUGUCAGCGUUUUUCACUGGGGUUCUCAGGCAUGAGCCCGGGAACCACGACGUUAAGGAAGAUGGGCUGUGGAUACCAGAAGCUGGGCAAAGCAGACUUGCCCAGGGGGGCAAAUGUCUUAAAUGAAACACAAUCAAACUCAAGCACAGUGGGGAAACUGAGUCCCCACCUGUAAAAGAAUGAGGUUGACAAGCUAGAUGUGGUAGUGCUAGCACUUGGAAGGCAGAAGCUGAAGGAUCAGAGGUUCAAGAUCAUUCAGGAACACAGGAAGUUCUCUAGCUGAGUCAAGAGAGCUUCGUAGGACAUGUGGACUCUGCAGCUUCAGACCAGGAGGCACUAAAAAUGACCAGUCCCAGUAAAGAUUACCCCAGUCUGUAUUCAGUCCCUCCAGAAGGCCCAUGAAAGAUCCCAGGGCAGGGCAGCAUGAGAAUGCUCUUCCCUCUCAGAGUUCCUCUCACUGUUCUUAAUAAAUGUAGGUUCAUUCUAUUCUCUCCUGGCCUGUAUGUCUUAUCCUUCUGAGACAAUGAACCCAGAUGUCACUGGCUCAAGGCAGCUUUGACAACCAUGAUCAGCCAGCAUCCUAGGUCCCUGGGCUAAGAUAACCAAGAGCCAAUUUUCCAUUGCUUUCAAAGCACCCACAUCAAAAGGAUACUAUCAUCAGAGUGGAAAUCAGUCAAUGGACUGGGAGGAAAAUACUUGUAAAUACAUAGAGCCCAGCGUCAGAAGACAAACAGCUUUACAUGAGCACCUGAACAGACACUUCUUCAAAGAAAUGAUCGAAUGACUGCUGUGACCAUGGGAAGACUAGCAUUACCCACCAGGCACUAGAGAAAAACAAAACCCACCAACAGUAAGAAAGCCAGGCAUAGAGGUGCAUGCCUACAACCCCAGAACUCAGAGGCAGGAGGAUCUAAAGUUCAAUACCAGCCUGGGCUACAGAGCAAUAUCCUGCCUCAAAACCCAACCUAAGCAUAGCAGGUGCACGCCUUUAACCCCAGCAAUCAGGAGGCAGAGGCAGGCUGAUCUCUGUGAGUUUGAGGCCAGCCUGCUCUAUAUAGUGAGUUCCAGGCCAGCCAGAGCUACACAGCAAAACCCUGCCUCAACAAACAAACAAACAAUCAAAACAAAAACCCAAGAGCACAGCUUCCAUCGCCCAAUAUUAAAACAGCUAAACAGAAGCCACGUAUGGUAUUUUCUGUCUGCAGUCCCAUCACCUGGGAAGACUGGGCAAGAUGAUUGUCUUGAGUUCAAGGCCAGUCUUGGCUCCAUAGUGAGUUCCAGGCCAGCCUGUGCUAGAGAAAGUUUGUGAGGGUGUAGAGACAUGGAAAUGCUUGUCCACUAACUGCUUAGAAUGUAACACAGUGUAGCCUCUGUGGGAAGUGGUAUGAUGUUUCUCAGACACGUCCAUAAUAUAAUUUGGUCAUAUUCACUCUCUCUCCAUUACCCUUCCUGCUCCACUCUUCUUCCCAUUAAUAAAUAAACCUUCCUUUCUACUUUCA